UUGCUCUUCCUUAGCUCUUUCGCUCGCUCUUCUUCAGAUCUUCUUCACUGACGCUCUUCUUCUUUGUUGUUGAAGGUUCAGUUCGUCUUCUUCGCCAUUGAAGGUCCAACUCGUCUUCAAUGACGCUCAACACAGCUCUAGAGGUCGAAUCUCAAAGUCAAGAAAGAAGACAUCAACAAACACAAAGAGAGGAGAGGGAGGAAAACAGAGAGUGGGCAGCAAAAAGAGAUGGUAUCACACGUGCAAUGUGGGAUGACUUCAGUGGGCAUAGAAUGAAUGUUUAAUACUUGUAUCUUCUUAUAAGUUGUCUGUUGUUUUUAAUGUGACAUGAAGUAUAGAUUACUGCUUUGUGAUUGAAGUAGUUCUUGUUAAUUCGAACUUGAUUUACCACUCUACAUCAUUGUGAUGUUUCCCUUGUCUCAAUAGCAAAAUGACAAUCUAUUUUUGUGU